AUCCAGUUGACGAGUCUCAAAUAAGACGAAACGCGAGUCAAACUGAAU
rnacentral:hammerhead_ribozyme from 1 species